GCUCUAGACUCUUCUAGUCCCUGUGGAGUCCAGCACACUGACACAGCCCAGUCACAGGCUCUAGACUCUUCUAGUCCCUGUGGAGUCCAGGACACUGACACAGCCCAGUCACAGGGCUCUAGACUCUUCUAGUGCAUGUGGGGCACCUGGGGUUCUCUCAGCACCUGUCCCAUUAAAACAGCCCUUUAUGUCUCUCUGAAGGGGCAUGAGGAUGAGGGACAGGGGUGCCCAUUUUCCUGAGAGGACACCCCAGUUCCUUUAGAGAAAGUCAAGCCACACCUGUGCCUGACGGAAGCAGGGGGUCACAGCAGCACCAGGGACAGGAGCCUCAAGUGGACAGAGGGAAAGGCAGCGGACAGGAGGGCAGCACAUGUCCGAUACCAGGAACCCCAACAACACAGCUCCCACAGGUGCAGACGGAGAAGAGGGGAGGAGACAGACAGGCGGACAGACAGAGGCAGAGAAAGAUGGCACACGCAGCCAGAAGGGGGCACUCAGGCAGGGAGACAGAAGCAAUAAAGCAAUAGCAGACCUGUCUGGUGCUGAUAAGAGUUGCCGUGCUGUGAGAGAAGGCGUGGGACUUGAGAGAGGGGGGGGGGCUGGGGCGGGGAAGAGGGGUGCAGUCGGGGGACCCCAGACAGAGCGGUCAGGAGAGGUGGGCUGUGCACCGUGUCCGUCUCUCUCUCUCGUUCCCAUGGUAACAGCCCCGGAGCAGGGGACGGCGCCGCGCACUCGUGCAGCGAGGUCACCGGACCGGACCAGCCCGGUGCCGCCUGGACAGGACCCAGGCCCGUGACCCCACAGCGCGCGCGGACUGCACCACGCGCCCCCCAACGGCGAGACCCGAGGGCAGGCGGGCCGGACCAUGCAGAACAGAACCAGGCACAGCCAUGCAGCAGACCAGAGCCAUGCAGGACUGCAGGGGCAGAACCGGAGGCUCCCAGCGCAUGGCAGGCCGAUCCGCUCCAGGUCUGACCCGGCUGCGGCCCCAGGACAGCAGCGACAGCAGGGGCUGGAGGAGUUGCCCUGAGGCUCCUCUGCUGCGUCAGGGCGGGGCGCAGGAAGACCUGGAGUGGAUCAGACCGCCCUGCACUGUCUGUGAGGACAACGGGCGUCACGGUUCGAGAAGCAGUCGGCAGCAUGUAGACAAACGGGCCCUUCAGCCACAGCUCGCAGGCAGGGAGGGGCACAGCUGACCCAUGCAGUCCGGAAUCACACAGGAAUCCACACUGGACUCUCGCCGGAGUGCUGACUGGGCAGGAACUGAGGUCAACUCGUGCAUCUUCACAGCCCAGCAGCCGGACAGACAUGGGGGACCAGAACACUGUCGUGUGUGCAACCAUCUCUGGAGUGCAAGACACACAUGCAGGGCUACAGCAGCUCAGUCACGAGAAUGUGUGCGUGUCCUGUAAACCCAUGCAGGACUCGUGUGUGUGUGUGUGUGUGUGUGUGUGUGUGUGUGUGUGUCCUGUAAACCCAUGCAGGACUCGUGUGUGCGUGUGCAUGUGUUGGAAACCCAUGCAGUACUCGUGUGUGUGCGUGUGUAUGUGCAUGUGUAGGAAACCCAUGCAGUACUCGUGCGUGUGCGUGUGCGUGUUGUAAACCCAUGCAGGACUCGUGUGCACUCAUGCGCUACAGGACUGGACAGUCACAGUGGACAGACAGGGGAGACAUGCACCUCAAUUUUGCGUCCCUCCACCAGCGUUCCGUGUAAGCGCUCCCUCGCUUUCUCGGCGUCAGCGCUCGACUCAAACGUCACAAACCCGAACCCCUGCAUGCCCCAACCGGAGAGGGGAGGAGUGGAGUAUCGAGAGAGGGGGGAGGGGGGGAGGGAGGGAGGGGAAUAUUAGGAAUAUAGACGGAGAGCAUUCAGGGAGGGAGAGAAGAGUAUUAGAGUAUUUGGAGAGCAUUAAGGAAGGGAGGAGAGUAUUAGCAGAGUAUUUGGAGAAUAUUGAGGGGGGUAGGGAGUAGAGUAGUAGCAGAAUAUUUGGAGAGUAUUGAGAAAGAGGGAGGAGAGUAUUAGCAGGGUAUUUGGAGAGUAUUGAGAGAGGGAGGGUGGAGAGCAUUAUCAGAGUAUUUGGAGAGCAUUGAGAGAGGGAGAGGAGAGUAUUAGCAGAGUAUUGAGAGGGUAUUGAGGUGGGCAGGGAGGAGAGUAUUAGCAGAGUAUUGAGAGAAUAUUGAGGGGGGGUAUUAGCAGAGUAUUUGGAGACCAUUGAGGAAGGGAGGAGAGUAUUAGCAGAGUAUUUGGAGAGUAUUAAGGGAGGGACAGGAGAGUAUUAGCAGAGUAUUUGGAGAGUAUUGAGGGAGGAACAGGAGAGUAUUAGAGUAUUUGGAGAGUAUUGAGGGAGGGAGGAGAGUAUUAGCAGAGUAUUUGGAGAGUAUUAAGGGAGGGACAGGAGAGUAUUAGCAGAGUAUUUGUAGAGUAUUUAGGGAGGAACAGGAGAGUAUUAAAGUAUUUGGAGAGUAUUGAGGGAGGGAGGAGAGUAUUGGGGGAGGGACGUAGGGAGAGGAAGUGGAGAGAACAACAUGCACAACAUUAAAAAUAAAAUAAAUUCUUGAAUUCAGAACAAAUCAGAACCAAAAGCACUGCUUGAGAUAAUUAACUAUGAAGAGGUCAAUGGGUUAAUCUGAUUGAAAGAGCAACAUGCCAAGCCACAAUGACCCCGAGUGACCCCCCCAAUACUC
rnacentral:lncRNA from 1 species